rnacentral:piRNA from 8 species
CGGAUAGCUCAGUCGGUAGAGCAUCAGA